rnacentral:rRNA from 1 species
GAUGAACGCUGGCGGCGUGCCUAAUACAUGCAAGUCGAGCGAACAGACGAGGAGCUUGCUCCUCUGACGUUAGCGGCGGACGGGUGAGUAACACGUGGAUAACCUACCUAUAAGACUGGGAUAACUUCGGGAAACCGGAGCUAAUACUGGAUAAUAUAUUGAACCGCAUGGUUCAAUAGUUAAAGACGGUUUUGCUGUCACUUAUAGAUGGAUCCGCGCCGCAUUAGCUAGUUGGUAAGGUAACGGCUUACCAAGGCAACGAUGCGUAGCCGACCUGAGAGGGUGAUCGGCCACACUGGAACUGAGACACGGUCCAGACUCCUACGGGAGGCAGCAGUAGGGAAUCUUCCGCAAUGGGCGAAAGCCUGACGGAGCAACGCCGCGUGAGUGAUGAAGGUCUUCGGAUCGUAAAACUCUGUUAUUAGGGAAGAACAAAUGUGUAAGUAACUAUGCACGUCUUGACGGUACCUAAUCAGAAAGCCACGGCUAACUACGUG